GAUGAACGCUGGCGGCGUGCCUAAUACAUGCAAGUCGAGCGAACGGACGAGAAGCUUGCUUCUCUGAUGUUAGCGGCGGACGGGUGAGUAACACGUGGAUAACCUACCUAUAAGACUGGGAUAACUUCGGGAAACCGGAGCUAAUACCGGAUAAUAUUUUGAACCGCAUGGUUCAAAAGUGAAAGACGGUCUUGCUGUCACUUAUAGAUGGAUCCGCGCUGCAUUAGCUAGUUGGUAAGGUAACGGCUUACCAAGGCAACGAUGCAUAGCCGACCUGAGAGGGUGAUCGGCCACACUGGAACUGAGACACGGUCCAGACUCCUACGGGAGGCAGCAGUAGGGAAUCUUCCGCAAUGGGCGAGAGCCUGACGGAGCAACGCCGCGUGAGUGAUGAAGGUCUUCGGAUCGUAAAACUCUGUUAUUAGGGAAGAACAUAUGUGUAAGUAACCGUGCACAUCUUGACGGUACCUAAUCAGAAAGCCACGGCUAACUACGUG
rnacentral:rRNA from 1 species